rnacentral:rRNA from 1 species
AGUUUGAUCCUGGCUCAGGAUGAACGCUAGCGGCAGGCUUAACACAUGCAAGUCGAGGGGCAGCGCGUUGUAGCAAUACGAUGGCGGCGACCGGCGAAAGGGUGCGUAACGCGUGAGCAACCUGCCCGUAUCCGGGACAUAAGCGGUGGAAACGCCGUCUAAUUUCCCAUAACAACGAGGGCCGCAUGGUCCAUGUUUGAAAGAUGCGUCGGAUACGGAUGGGCUCGCGAGACAUUAGCUAGUCGGCGUGGUAACGGCACACCGAGGCGACGAUGUCUAGGGGUUCUGAGAGGAAGGUCCCCCACAUUGGAACUGAGACACGGUCCAAACUCCUACGGGAGGCAGCAGUGAGGAAUAUUGGUCAAUGGGCGAGAGCCUGAACCAGCCAAGUAGCGUGCAGGACGACGGCCCUAUGGGUUGUAAACUGCUUUUAUGCGGGGAUAAAGUACACUACGUGUAGUGUUUUGUAGGUACCGCAUGAAUAAGGACCGGCUAAUUCCGUGCC